rnacentral:rRNA from 1 species
GUCCUUUAGAAAAAGAAUUUAAGGUCUAACCUGCCCACUGAGAUUUUUAAAUGGCCGCAGUAUUUUGACUGUGCAAAGGUAGCAUAAUCAUUAGUUUUUUAAUUAAAAGCUUGUAUGAAUGGUUGGACGAGAUAAAAUCUGUCUCUAUAUAAUAAUUAGAAUUUAAUUUUUAAGUUAAAAAGCUUAAAUAAUAAUAAAAGACGAGAAGACCCUAUAGAUCUUUAUAUUAAAUUUUAUAAUUUUAUUGAAGAUUAAUUUAUUUAUUAUAAUUUUUACUAUUUUAUUGGGGUAAUAGGAAGAUUUAAGAAAUUCUUUUUAAUUUUAAACAAAAAUUAUUGAAUAAUUGAUCCUUAUUAUUGAUUAUAAGAUUAAGUUACCUUAGGGAUAACAGCGUAAUUUUUUUAAAGAGUUCUUAUCGAUAAAAAAGUUUGCGACCUCGAUGUUGGAUUAAAAAUUAUUUUGGGUGUAGAAGUUCAAAUUUUUGGUCUGUUCGACCAUUAAAUUUUUACAUGAUCUGAGUUCAGACCGGNNNNNNNNNNNNNNNNNNNNNNNUUUAUUUANUUAAUAUAUUUUAGUACGAAAGGACCAAAUAUAAAGUAUAAUGAUAUUUAUUUUUUGAUUAA